UGUCCAUUCAUUUAUGUUGUGUUCAACUCAACCAACGUCCCUUACCAUACUUGCAAACAAGCUACACACCCAACACAACUCACAUAGAUAGCAUAAGAUAUAAGCUAAGGAACAAACCACUAUUAGUUUUUUAAUAAUAGCACCCCACCAUCUUCUCAAACCUCAACAAUCCUCUUCUUCUUUGAAAUAAUAACCUCUUUUUUCAUUAAAUUAAACCCAGUGUUUUUUCAUAUUCAAGUGCCAAAGUUGAAUUGAAGCUGGUUUCAUUUCAUCAAUAAAAAUAAAAAGAAAUAAUGACGUGGAAAAGUAGAGGAGAGUUUUCUUCAAGAAGUGUAAUAUCUCAAAAAUGGGCACUUUUUCUUUGUCUCGGUAGUUUCUGUGCUGGAAUGCUCUUCACUAACAGGAUAUGGAGUAUUCCUGAACAAAAUGGACUUGCAAGACCGACAGCUUCAGAAACUGGUAAAUUGAAUGUAGUUUCCGAGGGUUGUAAUUCGAAAAUUUUGCAAGAUUUGGAAAUGAGGCGCGAAACUAGAGAUAUGUAUGGUGAAGAUUUCAAGGGUCAUAAUUCUAAACAAGCUUUGGAUAAAACUAUUUCAAAUUUAGAGAUGGACUUGGCUGCUGCAAGAGCUGUUCAAGAGUCGGUACGGAGUGGUGCUCCUGUUUCAGAAGAUAUAAGGACGACUGAGUCGACGGGCAAGAGAAAGUACCUUAUGGUCGUAGGUAUUAAUACUGCCUUUAGCAGCAGGAAAAGAAGGGACUCGGUUCGAGCUACCUGGUUGCCACAAGGUGACAAAAGAAAGAAGCUAGAGGAAGAGAAAGGCAUUGUAAUGCGCUUUGUAAUUGGACACAGUGCUACAUCAGGAGGUAUCCUAGACAGAGCUAUUGAAGCAGAGGAUAGAAAGCAUGGAGAUUUUUUGAGGCUGAAUCAUGUUGAAGGAUACCUUGAAUUGUCAGCAAAGACAAAGACAUACUUUGCCACUGCUGUGAGCUUAUGGGAUGCUGAUUUUUAUGUCAAAGUUGAUGACGAUGUUCAUGUAAAUAUAGCAACAUUGGGAGAAACUCUAGUUAGACACCGAUCAAAACAACGGAUAUACAUUGGAUGCAUGAAAUCUGGACCUGUCCUGUCUCAAAAAGGGGUAAGGUACCAUGAACCUGAGCAUUGGAAGUUUGGCGAGUCUGGAAACAAGUACUUCCGCCAUGCCACAGGGCAGUUGUAUGCUAUUUCCAAUGAUUUGGCAACAUACAUAUCUACAAACCAGAAUGUUCUUCAUAAGUAUGCCAAUGAGGAUGUGUCAAUAGGAGCUUGGUUUAUUGGACUUGACGUGGAGCAUAUCGAUGACCGAAGACUUUGCUGUGGCACUCCUCCAGAUUGCGAAUGGAAGGCGCAAGCAGGUAACAUUUGUGUUGCUUCAUUUGAUUGGAGCUGCAGUGGAAUUUGUAGGUCUGCCGAUAGGAUUAAAGAAGUACAUAGAAGGUGUGGAGAAGGUGAAAAUGCUUUGUGGAGUGCUUCUUUCUAAGACGAAAAACCUUUGAUGAGUUCUUCCUAACUCGGGAAGAUUAUUACCACUCCAGAAAGAAACCAAGCCUGCAAGAUUUUUCUUUUUUCAUUUUCUAUAUAUUUUUGUCCAGUAUAUAUAGAGAGAGGAAUAUCAUUUUAUACACGAGAAAAAGCUGGAGUGAGAGUGUGAAAGAGAGAAUGCUUGAUCCAUGGACCUUCUACAUUUUAAGAAGAGAUUGUUCAUGGUUUGCAGCUAGAUAAGGACACACAAAAUAGUACAAUACAUCUAUUCUUUGUUGCUUGAAAGGGCCAUUAUGUUUGUUAAUAGUUCCAAUGGCUAGCUAUCAAGCUCCUAAUAAAUUGAUAUAAUUUGGUGGCUGUUGCUGCCUUUCCUUUUGCCAAUAA